rnacentral:rRNA from 1 species
UACGUAGGGUGCAAGCGUUGUCCGGAAUUAUUGGGCGUAAAGAGCUCGUAGGCGGUUUGUCGCGUCUGCUGUGAAAACCCGAGGCUCAACCUCGGGCCUGCAGUGGGUACGGGCAGACUAGAGUGCGGUAGGGGAGAUUGGAAUUCCUGGUGUAGCGGUGGAAUGCGCAGAUAUCAGGGGGAACACCGGUGGCGAAGGCGGAUCUCUGGGCCAUUACUGACGCUGAGGAGCGAAAGCGUGGGGAGCGAACAGG